ensembl:snRNA U6 U6 spliceosomal RNA
GUGUUCGCUUUGGCAGCAUAUGUGCAAAAAUUAGAACGAUAUGGAGUAGAUUAGCAUGGCCCGCGUGCAAGGAUGACAUGCAAAUUCGUGAAGCCUUUCAUAUUUUU